rnacentral:rRNA from 1 species
GCAGUCGAGCGCGGGAAGCGAGCUGAUCCCCUUCGGGGGUGACGCUCGUGGAACGAGCGGCGGACGGGUGAGUAACACGUGGGUAACCUGCCUGUAAGAUCGGAAUAACUCCGGGAAACCGGAGCUAAUGCCGGGUAAUACUUUCUUUCGCAUGAAGGAAAGUUGAAAGAUGGCUUCUUGCUAUCACUUACAGAUGGACCCGCGGCGCAUUAGCUAGUUGGUGAGGUAACGGCUCACCAAGGCGACGAUGCGUAGCCGACCUGAGAGGGUGAUCGGCCACACUGGGACUGAGACACGGCCCAGACUCCUACGGGAGGCAGCAGUAGGGAAUCUUCCGCAAUGGACGAAAGUCUGACGGAGCAACGCCGCGUGAACGAUGAAGGUCUUCGGAUCGUAAAGUUCUGUUGUUAGGGAAGAACAAGUACCGUUCGAAUAGGGCGGUACCUUGACGGUACCUAACGAGGAAGCCCCGGCUAACUACGUGCCAGCAGCCGCGGUAAUACGUAGGGGGCAAGCGUUGUCCGGAAUUAUUGGGCGUAAAGCGCUCGCAGGCGGUUCCUUAAGUCUGAUGUGAAAGCCCACGGCUCAACCGUGGAGGGUCAUUGGAAACUGGGGAACUUGAGGACAGAAGAGGAGAGUGGAAUUCCACGUGUAGCGGUGAAAUGCGUAGAUAUGUGGAGGAACACCAGUGGCGAAGGCGACUCUCUGGUCUGUCUCUGACGCUGAGGAGCGAAAGCGUGGGUAGCAAACAGGAUUAGAUACCCCUGGUAGUCCACGCCGUAAACGAUGA